rnacentral:lncRNA from 1 species
AAGCAAUCAAGGUAUUUUUUUUACUUUCUCACCCAAACUCCAAUCUCCUUGUUCCAUUCGGCAUCAGUGCACAGAUGCCUAGUUUUGCCAGCAUCGAUCGGAAGGACCAGAGAGAUAAAAUGUUGCAGAACAGAAAAUAAAGGUUUGUCUUAUUGAAGGUUUAUAGGAACACUGCAACCGCCCCCUGGGACCUCCAUGGACACCUGCAAGGGCAAAGGAUUCCCACACCAAGAAGCUGGCAGCCACUAGCCACACCCCCUCCCCUUUUGGUAUAAGAGAAGCCUGAAUUCUAACCUGGGGAAGGAGAAGUGGCCAAACCAAGGAGAAAACUGGAACAGUGAGUGGCCAAAGCCUGGUGCCAUCUUCAUCCACAACAAGGUCUUGCCCCCCUGGCAAGCUGUUCCCACUCACUUACCUCGCACCCCCGGCCGCUCAGCUCUGGGCCGACCACUGCAACUCCAUGUUCAAGGUGUCGGAAAUGAAGACAACGCCGGCUCGGGUCGCCAGUGUCAGAAAGUGAGACACGUGGACAAGGAGACAUCUCGACAAGGCUCUUUACUUCUGCAGAAGGGCGCGGGCCCUCCAAAAAGUGCAGGUGCCCAACAAGGGACCCUCCCCUAUUGACCCCUAACGCAGGUGAUGGACCCGUCCCCUUCCCAUGGGUCAGGUCAGGGCGCACACUCUUCCCGGUUGGCUCACUGAAACCACUUGUUGCUGGGAAAAGGGGUCAAGGGGAAGGGGGUCGCAGAGGCGUUUCCACCAACACCAGAGUGACAUGGAGUCACCAAGGUUUCCUUUGGUAGAAAAGACAUGAGGUUAUUUCCACAACAGCCCCUUCUAACACCGCUGCAAAGCAAAGCCACCGGGAAAAAAUGUAAUUGUAAGGUAUACAUGUAAGGAUAAGCUGACCCCCUUGCUGUACAGUGGGAAAAUAAAAUUAAAAAAAUUAUAAAAAAAAAGAAAAGAAAAGAAAAGCCACCCACCCUGAGGCCGAAAUCACACAGCCCUCCUUCAAACUCACUGGGAGAAGGGGGUUAUUUGAAGACAAAAAGGGGUGUUUUUAUACGCACCCUCCAGGUUCAGAACAGAUUUCGAAUAAAGAGAAGCAAUGACUUUGUUAGAAGGCUGUUUGAUUUUUAAGUGUAUACUUUGGCGAGCGGGAGCGGGGGGUAAAGUCCGUGGGGGAGCUUUUAAGGGGAGCUGAGACGCAAUUUGCCACUUCCCAUCCUCCGUCGAGGUGACCCCAAAGGAAAACUUAGGGUGUCAGCUUCUUGUCACCCUCCUCCCACAAGAAAUGGAUGCCAGGCCAGGCUGUGGGUAACGAGGGUGGGGAGGCCUCUGCCGAUGGCCCGAGAGGGGACCCUCCGUUCUGUCCAUAUUUCCUUCUCACAAAUACACAUGGACUCUCACUCUUGGCCAUGUAACUUGCUUGUAUGAAUUAAUUGUUUCAGCAGUAUAUUGAACAAAUUCCUGAACUCAAA